rnacentral:rRNA from 1 species
AGUGAACGCUGGCGGUAGGCCUAACACAUGCAAGUCGAACGGCAGCACAGUAAGAGCUUGCUCUUACGGGUGGCGAGUGGCGGACGGGUGAGGAAUACAUCGGAAACUACUUUUUCGUGGGGGAUAACGUAGGGAAACUUACGCUAAUACCGCAUACGACCUACGGGUGAAAGCAGGGGAUCUUCGGACCUUGCGCGAUUGAAUGAGCCGAUGUCGGAUUAGCUAGUUGGCGGGGUAAAGGCCCACCAAGGCGACGAUCCGUAGCUGGUCUGAGAGGAUGAUCAGCCACACUGGAACUGAGACACGGUCCAGACUCCUACGGGAGGCAGCAGUGGGGAAUAUUGGACAAUGGGCGCAAGCCUGAUCCAGCCAUACCGCGUGGGUGAAGAAGGCCUUCGGGUUGUAAAGCCCUUUUGUUGGGAAAGAAAAGCAGCAGGUUAAUACCCCGCUGUUCUGACGGUACCCAAAGAAUAAGCACCGGCUAACUUCGU